UACGGGGGGGGCAAGCGGUUGUUCGGAAUUAUUGGGCGUAAAGAGCGUGUAGGCGGCCAGGUAGGUCUGCUGUGAAAACUCGAGGCUUAACCUCGAGCUGUCGGCGGAAACCAUCUGGCUAGAGUCCGGAAGAGGAGAAUGGAAUUCCCGGUGUAGCGGUGAAAUGCGCAGAUAUCGGGAAGAACACCCGUGGCGAAGGCGGUUCUCUGGGACGGUACUGACGCUGAGACGCGAAAGCGUGGGGAGCGAACAGG
rnacentral:rRNA from 1 species